rnacentral:tRNA from 1 species
GUGGGCGUAGCUCAACGGUAGAGCACUGGACUGUGGCUCCAGCUGUUGCGGGUUCGAUUCCCGUCGCUCACC